GUUAGUUUUGGGCUCCACGGAGCCGAUUCUGGCCCAUUGCUUUGCCAGGGAGUCAGUUGGGGGUAGACCGGGAUAACCCCCACCGGUCCAGAGGGGGGGGAACGAGGGCUUGCAGCCAGAUUUUGGGCAUGGCAUUGCAGCUGGGGAGCGGCCGUCUCCCCUGCGCCCGCCAUGCUUGUAGGCCUCAUUGUGAGUUGUGCUCGGUUCGUCGCUGGAGAGGUAUCGUUUUCUUCCCCUCGAUGUCUACUCUCGAGUGGUAGCUUUAAAUUCACAAUUAAAUGCCUGUGUAACGGUGAAAUUUAGCAUUAAGUGCCGAGUUUAGCAGGAGCUGCUGUGGUGAGCUUCCUCACAGCUCUGCAGCCAGGC